GCAGUUUGGCAGUGUCCGUACUGGGCACAGCUGUCAGCAUCUCUUUGCCUUCAUUUCAGAGAAAUCAGAUGCUAUUGGCAACAGAUCAGAAGGCAAGCCAGACAUAAUUAGGGUUUCUCUUUAGCAAAGAAGAAAUAGAAAGAUCAUCCUUCAGACCUUCCCUCUACCCCAGCUGUUUUGGGGGCAGUUUCUUCAUUUCACUGAUGAAGAAAAAAAAAAUCACAUUUUUUCUUUAUUAUUUUUUUUCCUAUUCUCAUGUCCAAGCUCACAGUGGGGGAAAUAGAAUUGUCCCAUUUUUAUUACUUUACUUGCUGUUUUAGCACAAUGCUGUGCUUGAAGUUAGAGUACAAAGAGACAGCUUUACACAGAAGGCGUCUGCCCCGCCUGCUGGGAACACACACUCCACAUCCACAUCCCGGAGCCUCGGACUGAGAAUCAACUUAUUAUCUUUUAUCAAAGAGCCCAUGUGGAGUGCCAGAGGUUCAAUGCAGAUGUCAGCAGUCUCUGACGUUUGAAAAGAUGACCAGAAUAAAAAGAAACAACCCUCUCAGGCUCAGUAGGAACAGAAGCAACCUAGAACUUCCACGAUCAGUGGCUCAGGCUGCAAAACUCGCAUGUCUAAGCGAGGUCACAUUCUAAGACACUGGACUUCAACACAUCCUUGUUGGAAGACAUAAUGCAAACUAUAGCAAUCAAGAAACAGUGUUCAAGACACGCUUUUAAGUAAAAGUUGGAAUGAAGCAUGGGGACUUGAUAACUCAGAAUUCUGGCUCCUUGAAUAAAGAACCCCAGGAGUCAUCCUGUGAAUGAUCUCCAAACGAAACUGUGAAAUACAGUGGACAUGGACUUUACACCACAUCAGAAUCAGAUGCUAAACCGGUCCCUCUGGAGAUCACACCAUCCUUCCAGUGCUAGGUUUGCAUCUGGAAGGUUGGGUAUUUGGUACAGAGGGACUGGACCCAGAAGAUGUGCAAAUAGGUGUGGCUAACUCUAAUCAGGUGAUCCUGGGUGGUCCAAGAAAGCAAGAGGAACAAGCACUGAGGAACAAGUCAGACCAUGAGCUAUUGGAUAGUGCUGUCUGUGUUCAGGGUUGGUCUUCCUUCCUCUGGAAACAGCCUCACAGACAUAUCCAAAGGGAUGCCUCCCAAAUCAUCCCAACUCUAAUCGAGCUGAUAAUGAAGAUUCACCAUCACAGUAAUCCAGUUAAAAUGAAGCUAUUAGGAUGAACCCUACUUUACUAUGACUGGCAUUUUCAUCAGAAGGGGAAGAGAAACCUGGGAUAGAUCAUUUUCUUGUAGUCCUCAGAAAGAACCAAUACUGUCAAUGUCUGGCUUUUGCCUCUAGCCUCCCAAAUGUGAAGAGAAUAAACCAUUUGGUCUGAGGAACUUCACUGUUGAGUAAAGUAAUAUAACCAUGCCAUGCAACUCAGGGUUCAAUCACAUCGCGUGCAGUGUCUAGAGAUCAUUAAUCUUGAUCUUAACUACAUGUAGUCUAACAUAAUGCUUCCUACACUCAUAAGAAUGGCUGAGGACUGCCUGGUCUGGCCUCAGUGAGAGAAGACACACCUAACCCUCAUGGGACUUGAGGCCCUAGGGAAUGGAGAGGUCUGGUGGGGUUGGGGGGAUAGGGACAUCCUCUUGGAUACUGGGGAGGAGGAAUAGAAUGAGGAACUGCUGGAGGGUAGACUGAGAGGAGGAUAGUGCUGGACUAUAAAAAAGAUUUAAUAAUAAUAAUAAUGAUAAUAGAUUGAGACUGUUUAAUAAACCACAAAGCCCCAAGUCUCUGUAAUGCAAGUUUGAAAAUUGUAUAGGUAUUAGGUUGACCAAGAAUUCUCAAGGUGGGGUCACUCUUGUAGCUAUCUUCUGAAGAGUGCACCAGCCUAGUCUAGUGGUUCACCUAUGGUAGAUGUUCAAUAAAACCAAAGGAGCUUAGUUUAAGAAUUCUGGACCAGCUAAGAAUCCAACAGACAAGUAGUUAUUCAUCUCAUUCUCUGCUUCUUAAUGGGAAAUAUACAGGGAGUAUUGUGAUGACUUAUUUUGGAUGUCAAUUUGACAAACCUGGGAAGAAGGACCCUCAACUGAGGACAUGCCUACAAUGGAAUGACCUGUGGGCAUGUCUGUAGGGGCAUGAUUUUUGGUUGUGAAUUGAUAUAGAAUGAACCAGUACACUGUGGGUGGUGCCUUCCUUUGCCGGGUAGGCCUAGGCUAUAUAUGAUGAGUCUUACUGUGAGUCUGGGAGCUAGCCCAAUAAGCAGCAUUCAUUUGUGGACUCUGUUUCAGUUCCUGUCUCCAGGUGCCUGCCUCGAAUUCUCCUAGUGAUAGGCUGUAGCCUGUAAGCUUUCCUCCUCAAGUAGUUUUUGGUCAGAGUGAUUUUAUUAUCAUGACAGCAAAGAAGCUAGAGCAGAUAUAUAGACUUCAUGUUUUUGGAGAGCAUGUUAUGUUACGUGUAUUUUGAUACAGAGUUUGCAUCAGUGGUCUGCCCAGAGCAAGGUAUCAUUGGAAGCAGAACACUUUUUUUAAAAAACAAAGUUAAUCCAAUGGUGUUGAGCAGGGAAGGUUUUGAAGGAUAGGAGUAAUUGCUGCAGCCAGAUGUCUACCGCUGCAUGUGAUUGAAAAUGGUGGUUGGGUCAGAGAAUGCUAAUCAUCCAUGAAGUGGGCUUGCCACGACUCUGACACCAUGUCCCCUGGUGCACUCGGCAGUAGGUGCAUCUUUGCUGAAUGAAUACAAAGUGAACUUGACGGGAAAGGAGACCUCGGCAGUCCUACAAAGACAAUUUUGCAAGCUGUCUGCCUGUGGAGUUGGUGGAGUGUUUGCUCUGGAAGAAACAGCUGACGUCAACUCUGCUCUCUUUGUAUCUCAAGGGCAGAGUUAGCCGUGCCUCUGGCCUGUGCGACACCCACAGAGGGAAGAAUGGCGUCCAGAGGGAAAGGUUAAAGAACGGGUCAGCUGGGCGCCUGUGCUCCCUGCCCCUCCCUCCCUCUGUUUGUCAUCUUUCUGGCAAGGUGAACUCAAUGCGCAGUAAUUCCUUCUGACUUUCUGAGAGCUGUGGAAUACACAAGUGUAAGAAAAGUCAUUCCAGCACUAACAGCAUUAGCUUGGCUUUGUAACCCGAUCACUUCGGCCAGAGAGAAUAAAGAAUCGGGGCCAUGUAGAGGGGGCAAGAGGUAAAAGAUAAAUGAGGAGUUUUCACUGCUGAACCAUCAGGAGUAAGUGUGGAUGUAUGUGCGCUUUGUUUAAAUCACAGAGGUUUCUUUUCCCUUGGAAGAGGCCUGUCCAAUAUGAACCGAGGAUGCAUUUUAUUUUCCUUGUAGCCCUGAGUAGCAGUCUUAAGGUUUUGCAUAUAUGUAGUUAUAAACAUCUCAGGGAUUAAAAAUAUCCUGGAGAUCUUAUCACCACAAGCAAAGGCAAGGACUGUAUUAUUACUGCAUAGUCUAGACACAUGGAAUUUCUCAUUCAAUCCAGAGAAGCAGGAUAGUUCAGCGGGAUGAGGGGUGGUGUUAAGAACAAACCCCAGGUUUCAUUUCCAAUGAUUUGUUAGAGGGGCUUGAAGAAAUCUUAUGGAGCCUAAUUGUUCUCUCUGAUAAUUCCAUAUGGACCUAAAAACCUCCAUCACAAGUCAACAGGUGUGACAGAUUGUGUUCACUUUUGCCUGUGUGUGUUGUGUCAGUCCUUCAAGUCUCCAAAACAUCAGGUCUGUGUGUGUUUGGAUAUUCAACUUCAUGUUAUAUGAAUAUCUUAAUGAUUCAGAUCACAAAGUGAAAAUACUGUGAAUGGCCAAGCCACAAAUCUUGGAUUUUAGUUGUAGCUGGUAUUAGAUGUGGGACCCCAGGCAACUUCUAAAAGUUCUCUGAUCUUCCAUUUUCUUAUGUAAAUAGAUGGAGAGACCAAAGAGUGACUGAAGUUUAGACAUUUUGCGUCCUCAGUGGGGAGUGAUGGAGAGUGAGGUUUGCUUAGAGAAGGUCUGUGCUAGGUCCCUGUGCUUCACUAGUUAACAGGUAUACAUGUGUCUAUGUGAUUUGUUAUAAGGAUAAUAAGAACCACUGCUGCAUUCACAAAACCUAUGCUUUUGCCAAGGCAGGCAAACAUCAUAGCUAUUUUGUUUGAGGAACAAGGGACACCGUAGUAAACCUUCCUAGGACCACAUUCCAUUAUCUCCCUGUGCUAAGGUAGAGAAGACACUACCUAUUUCACAGAACAGGCUCACAGUACAGUCACAACACACAGCUGUUUGCUUUCCCCUUCACUGGGUUUCCUUCCUUGGGUUCACUGACCUUGCCUCCCAAUCUCACUGUAGAAGCAAAGUAAGGACAGGCUGAAGCUACUGAGUCAAAAUGCAGGUGGUUGUGUGUCUGGAGAAGGAAUAAGAGCAGCCACCACUUUUAACUACCCAACACACAAAAUGUCAUUGAGGAAUGGGGCCUCCAAGAACGGCAAAAAUCUAGCUUUCCUAGAAGUGUACACGGCACCUGGGCAUGUGACAGGAAGUGUGUAAAAAUGCUUUUGCCACUACUGAAUUCUUCCAGUUUAGAUAAUAGUAAAGAUAAGAAAAACAGCAUGGAUUUAAGUAUGGAUAGAUAUUGUGAGGUUUUCAUGAUAAAUUAGAGAGUGUCUAGUGACUCGUUGGUAAAAAUGAUUGACAUUGGCUUCUUGAGGAUCUUGUAUUUGAAUCUCAUGAUAGCAUUUUAUUUAUUGUCCUUUCUAUGUUAGGCACUAAUCUGCAUCACAGAGAAAAAAAAAAAGAAAUCUAUCUAAGUCCAUUUAGGAAACCAUGAAAAAGGACAUGACAGAGAGCCAUCAUUGGCACUUAUUGAUUAGUUAUUAGUCAGUGAUGACUAUUAACUAGUGACGAGUACCAUGGUAACCACAGUGGAGACAUGCACAGUCACUAAGGGAGGUAGCUAUAAUGCAUGCAAGGAGGUGGUAAAGAAUAAGUUUCUCAAAAGAUGAAGACACAGCCCUAGGAGGGGAUUGUUGUUCCUCCUUGUCUCCUUACAUGAGAAGAGAAUGCUUGGUAUGCGCAAUCCCUUAAGGAAUCACAGAUAGAGAGGGAAAGGAGUAUAGAAUAAAAAUGCAUGUUCAGUCAUGAAUC